UACGGGGGGGGCAAGCGUUGUUCGGAAUUACUGGGCGUAAAGGGCUCGUAGGCGGCCAACUAAGUCUGACGUGAAAUCCCUCGGCUUAACCGGGGAACUGCGUCCGAUACUGGAUGGCUUGAGUGUGGGAGAGGGAUGCGGAAUUCCAGGUGUAGCGGUGAAAUGCGUAGAUAUCUGGAGGAACACCGGUGGCGAAGGCGGCAUCCUGGACCACGACUGACGCUGAGGAGCGAAAGCCAGGGGAGCAAACGGG
rnacentral:rRNA from 1 species